rnacentral:tRNA from 3 species
AGAGGAGUGGCAGAGUGGUCGAUUGCGGCGGUCUUGAAAACCGUUGACUGUUAAAGGUCCGGGGGUUCGAAUCCCUCCUCCUCUG